rnacentral:sRNA from 18 species
CCCCAGCUACCGGGGACCGCUUGUAGGCUUGCAAGCGGAGAGGGUAGAUGAGGAUCAGACGGUGAGUGCCUCAUUUAGCGAAAACCCCGUCAGGC